ACGCCCCGAGACUUCCUCUUCUCAGUGAUGUUUGAGCGAAUGGAUCGUAAAACACUAGUCAAGAAGCUGGCAAAAAAGGAUAUCGAGGAUGUACUGUCAGGAAUCCAAACAGCACGUUGUGGAUCAACGUUUUUUAGAGACCUAGGCGAUAAAGGGGUAAUUUCAUAUACUGAGUAUCUUUUCUUGCUUACGAUCCUCACAAAGCCUCACUCUGGGUUCCAUGUUGCUUUUAAAAUGCUGGAUGCAGAUGGUAAUGAGAUGAUUGAGAGAAAGGAGUUUGUUAAGGUGAGCACGUGCUUGUUGGAUUGUUAAGAAGCACCUGGCGUGGGGCUGGGGAUUUAGCUCAGCGGUAGAGCGCUUACCUAGGAAGCGCAAGGCCCUGGGUUCGGUCCCCAGCUCCGAAAAAAAGAACCAAAAAAAAAAAAGAAGCACCUGGCGCUUGAGUAGUAAUAGUCCACGUCCUUCACAACCUAAACCGUCUUCACUGUUACAUAUGCGACAGCAAAGCGCUUGGACUUCAGAACUGUGUUCUAAUGGCUCCGCAGUUGAGAGCACUUGUAGUUCUCCCAGAGGACAUGGCUUUAGUUCCUGCAUCCCUGUAACAGCUUACACCUCUCUGUAACUCCAGCUUUUGACCACAGCAGCACCAGACCCACUCGGUGCACAAACCUGCACUCGUGCAAAACACUCAUGUAUAUAAGGUAAAACGCAUACAUUUUUAAAAUACUUUCUGAAAUACAGUCUUGGGGACAUUAACAAGUGACUAAAACAUAAGAUUCUAAAAAGAGAAAUGAGUGGCGCAUUUACAUUUUCAUGAUUUUGCUUUCUUGACUUCAAUGUAUAAUUAUAAAGUAAAAAGGGAU
rnacentral:lncRNA from 1 species